rnacentral:rRNA from 1 species
AGUUGGUGGAGUGAUUUGUCUGCUUAAUUGCGUUAACGAACGAGACCUUAACCUACUAAAUAGUUACGCGAAACCCAGUUUCGUGGCCAACUUCUUAGAGGGACUAUACAAGUCAAUUGUAUGGAAGUGUGAGGCAAUAACAGGU